rnacentral:SRP_RNA from 1 species
GCCGGGCAUGGUGGCACAUGCCUGUAGUUCCAGCUACGCGGGAGGCUGAGGUGGGAGGAUCGGUGGGCCCAGGAGUUCUGGGCUGUAGUGCGCUGUGCUGAUCGGGUGUCCACACUAAGUUUGGCCUCAAUAUGGUGACCUCCGGGAGCAGGGGACCACCAGGUUGCCUAAGGAGGGGUGAACCGGCCCAGGUCGGAAACAGAGCAGGUCAAAACUCCCCUGCUGAUCAGUAGUGGGAUCGCGCCUGUGAAUAGCCACUGCACUCCAGCCUGGGCAACAUAGUGAGACCCUGUCUCU